rnacentral:lncRNA from 1 species
GGGGCCUGAACCAACAUUUGGUAUCAGAGCCUAGGGCUCGUAAAGACAGAGAAAGACGGUUUGAGAGUCGGUUUCGAGAAAGGGUGUAGCCCUUGGCUGUGGGGAAAACGCAACAGGAAGAAACCGAGUUUCGGUAGUUAUUCUUCGCAGCCUAUUUUCGGGUUUUCAAAACAGGGUAUUUGCGGGUGUUUUGGGACAGCAGGGGGGCUGUUUCGGUGUCGUUUUACAGCAGAAGACGGAGGCGUUAUGGCUGUUCGGAUGUUAGUUGCGGGUUUGCGCAAGCUGUUAUACAAGGGUGACAACAGCAGAAUGUUUUGCGGAAGCCUUGAUCGGAUUGUUCGUGAUAAGAGGAGACCGGUGUAGUGCGUGAAAAGCGGGAAGAAUGGAUCCGUCAAAGCAGGCGGCUUUGGAUUCGUCUCGUUUGGCAAGGUGAGAAAACGGAAGAAGCGGGUGGCUUGUUUUCUUUGUCGGUGGAUAGUCUCUUGAACAAGGUGAUCGGAAAAAGGUUGUAGAAAAAAAGGGAGAACACGGUGGUGACAUUAUGGCGUUGGAGUUCACUCGGGUGGCUUUGGAUGUGACCGGGGAAGGUUGUUGAUCCGUGAUAAGUCGUGAUGUUAAUGAACGGUGUUCCAACGUUAUGCCAUGUUACAUGUUACGGGCGUGGUGUUUCUUAUUCGGGUUGAACCGAGACACUGGACGUGAUCGAGGUGAAAAUCGGGUGUCCGUUAGAUGUCAUAGUGGUUCGAAACCGAGGUGAUUCGGUGCUGCGGUGACGGGUGUAAACAAACCGAUUAAGGGGGUGAAUGUUGGGUUAAUCGGUUCAGUUUACGGGUCAUUGGUUCGGCACAUUAUCGGGUCACGGUUCGAAUGGUUAUUUGUUUACGGGUAACGCGAGUCGUACGUAGGUCGCGGGUUCAAUUCGGGUCAGAUGGUUACGGGUCAAGCGUGCAAGUUGUUUACUAGUAGUAAAUGGGUCAAGUAAAUCCAUGGGUUUGAUCUAAUUAGUUUCUUGACGUUUGAUUUAGAAGAGUG